GAUGAACGCUGGCGGCGUGCCUAAUACAUGCAAGUCGAGCGAACGGACGAGAAGCUUGCUUCUCUGAUGUUAGCGGCGGACGGGUGAGUAACACGUGGAUAACCUACCUAUAAGACUGGGAUAACUUCGGGAAACCGGAGCUAAUACCGGAUAAUAUUUUGAACCGCAUGGUUCAAAAGUGAAAGACGGUCUUGCUGUCACUUAUAGAUGGAUCCGCGCUGCAUUAGCUAGUUGGUAAGGUAACGGCUUACCAAGGCAACGAUGCAUAGCCGACCUGAGAGGGUGAUCGGCCACACUGGAACUGAGACACGGUCCAGACUCCUACGGGAGGCAGCAGUAGGGAAUCUUCCGCAAUGGGCGAAAGCCUGACGGAGCAACGCCGCGUGAGUGAUGAAGGUCUUCGGAUCGUAAAACUCUGUUAUUAGGGAAGAACAUAUGUGUAAGUAACUGUGCACAUCUUGACGGUACCUAAUCAGAAAGCCACGGCUAACUACGUGCCAGCAGCCCCGGUAAUACGUAGGUGGCAAGCGUUAUCCGGAAUUAUUGGGCGUAAAGCGCGCGUAGGCGGUUUUUUAAGUCUGAUGUGAAAGCCCACGGCUCAACCGUGGAGGGUCAUUGGAAACUGGAAAACUUGAGUGCAGAAGAGGAAAGUGGAAUUCCAUGUGUAGCGGUGAAAUGCGCAGAGAUAUGGAGGAACACCAGUGGCGAAGGCGACUUUCUGGUCUGUAACUGACGCUGAUGUGCGAAAGCGUGGGGAUCAAACAGGAUUAGAUACCCUGGUAGUCCACGCCGUAAACGAUGAGUGCUAAGUGUUAGGGGGUUUCCGCCCCUUAGUGCUGCAGCUAACGCAUUAAGCACUCCGCCUGGGGAGUACGACCGCAAGGUUGAAACUCAAAGGAAUUGACGGGGACCCGCACAAGCGGUGGAGCAUGUGGUUUAAUUCGAAGCAACGCGAAGAACCUUACCAAAUCUUGACAUCCUUUGACAACUCUAGAGAUAGAGCCUUCCCCUUCGGGGGACAAAGUGACAGGUGGUGCAUGGUUGUCGUCAGCUCGUGUCGUGAGAUGUUGGGUUAAGUCCCGCAACGAGCGCAACCCCUAAGCUUAGUUGCCAUCAUUAAGUUGGGCACUCUAAGUUGACUGCCGGUGACAAACCGGAGGAAGGUGGGGAUGACGUCAAAUCAUCAUGCCCCUUAUGAUUUGGGCUACACACGUGCUACAAUGGACAAUACAAAGGGCAGCGAAACCGCGAGGUCAAGCAAAUCCCAUAAAGUUGUUCUCAGUUCGGAUUGUAGUCUGCAACUCGACUACAUGAAGCUGGAAUCGCUAGUAAUCGUAGAUCGGCAUGCUACGGUGAAUACGUUCCCGGGUCU
rnacentral:rRNA from 1 species